rnacentral:rRNA from 1 species
AACGAACGCUGGCGGCAUGCCUAACACAUGCAAGUCGAACGAGACCUUCGGGUCUAGUGGCGCACGGGUGCGUAACGCGUGGGAACCUGCCCUUAGGUUCGGAAUAACUCCCCGAAAGGGGUGCUAAUACCGGAUAAUGUCUUCGGACCAAAGAUUUAUCGCCUUUGGAUGGGCCCGCGUUGGAUUAGCUAGUUGGUAGGGUAAAAGCCUACCAAGGCGACGAUCCAUAGCUGGUCUGAGAGGAUGAUCAGCCACACUGGGACUGAGACACGGCCCAGACUACUACGGGAGGCAGCAGUGGGGAAUAUUGGACAAUGGGCGAAAGCCUGAUCAAGCAAUGCCGCGUGAGUGAUGAAGGCCUUAGGGUUGUAAAGCUCUUUUACCCGGGAUGAUAAUGACAGUACCGGGAGAAUAAGCACCGGCUAACUCCGUG